CCUACGGGAGGCUGCAGUGGGGAAUAUUGCACAAUGGGGGAAACCCUGAUGCAGCGACGCCGCGUGAGUGAAGAAGUAUUUCGGUACGUAAAGCUCUAUCAGCAGGGAAGAAAAUGACGGUACCUGACUAAGAAGCCCCGGCUAACUACGUGCCAGCAGCCGCGGUAAUACGUCGGGGGCAAGCGUUAUCCGGAUUUACUGGGUGUAAAGGGAGCGUAGACGGCAGCGCAAGUCUGGAGUGAAAUCCCAUGGCUUAACCAUGGAACUGCGUGUGAAACUGUGCAGCUAGAGUGCAGGAGAGGUAAGCGGAAUUCCUAGUGUAGCGGUGAAAUGCGUAGAUAUUAGGAGGAACACCAGUGGCGAAGGCGGCUUACUGGACUGUAACGGACGUUGAGGCUCGAAAGCGUGGGGAGCAAACAGGAUUAGAUACCCCUGUAGUC
rnacentral:rRNA from 1 species